ACCUAUUGGACCCGGGGGCGGUACCCGGCGCCUCCACCAAAGUAUAAACAACCAAAAUUAUAUUUUGGUGGGGGCGAAAUAGGAUCGACAAGGGUGUAAAGAUCGCUCUUUUACUCGGCAUUGUACCACCGUUAUCGGGCUAAAUGAGUAGUUGCAAAUGACAACUAUGCGGAAGCACGUCUCGCUGCUUAAGGUAGUGUGAAUGUUUCAAAUUGACUCUUAAACCGUCGCAGGUUUAAGCGGGGUUGGAAGG
rnacentral:tmRNA from 2 species